CUGCUCGCAUAAAUCUUUUCGAGGCAGUUAAGAAGUCGGAGCGCGCUGGCGGGAUUCUGAGAUCAGCUGAAGCCCUACGGUGCCCCUCCCCCACCCCCUCCCCCACCCUUAAGGCUGGAGCCAAGCUCGGUAGCAGCCUUGCGUUCCUGCAGGACUGGUGCACCGGGGCUUUACAACUCCAGAAAAGGGAAACGGCCCCCCAGCGCGAGUUCAUAACAUCCGCAAUAUUUUCUAUCCGCUGUCUGCGCGGCGGAAAAACAAGGUUCAGUUCUGGCUGUGUCAGGGCGUCUCCGUGUAACUGAUUCAAGUGACUUCGGGGAAUCUGUCAUAGAAGGUCACACUGAUAAUGAAGGCAGAGAUUGGCCUUAGACAUCAGAGACACCAAGAUCCAGAUAUCGCCAAGGUGCUGGGAAUAAGAUGUGUACCACAACUGGCAAGGCCAUUCAGUCUUACGAAAUCAUCAUUAUAUGUGUGCUACACCAUUGACUAUAGACUAUAUGGCCAAUGA
rnacentral:lncRNA from 1 species